ensembl:lncRNA
GGGAGGCUGUUCUGUCCAGGGCGUGUGUCCUGGUAACUGGGAGGGUGAUAUCUGGUGAAAUGUCUGGCUUGGCUGUGAGUUGUCUGGUGCAUGGUGGGAGAUGGUGUGGUGACAUGGCUGGUGUGACUUUGUUGAAGGGCUGUAGAUCUGGGAAGACCCAGGAGGGCAUGGGCUCUUCAGUUUAUUUAUGGUUUCAAUCUUCGGAUGAACAAAUUGAAACCAUAAAUAAAAAUAUAUUUUUCAUCUUUUGAACAACAAACACGUUUAAAGAUGAAAUGACCUGUCCAGUUGCACCGAGGAGAAGAAUCUCCUUUCACCUCAUGAGAAGGUGUGUCAGCAGACCAAGAAAUUGUUUGGCUCUGCCCACAAGAAAAUCCCUGUGGAGGGUUUCUGGCCGAUGAUCAUUCACAAGUGUUGUACGGAGUCUUCUAGAACAAUUUCAGUUUGGUCAGAAUCAUCAGUCAAAAGCUUUUUCUUCACUAAGUCUCUUGUUGAGCCAUUUUAUUUCAUUUGAACCAUGUCUCUUUAUUUGUGAACUGAUUGUUGAUGAUUGAUUGCUUGUUGUCAUCUGUGGCCGUUGGGCCUAAAGCGCUUCAGUUUUUUGUUUAAAUGAAGAUGGAGUUCACUGUGGAAGGAAAACAAGUGACCGCUGUUAUGUAACUUUUAAUAAAAAUAAGCUAUUCUGAUGAGCAUCAACAUCCGUGCUGUGAAUGUGAAGAUCUGCCAGCUAUCUCAAAGGGUCAGAUAGAAAUGCUGAUAGUAGCACUUUUUAUGUAUAGAGAUCUAAACACAUCAGUGGAGGUAGACUAUUACGUUUCAGAUAUUAAAAAAG